rnacentral:lncRNA from 1 species
CUUUUGACAGCCGUGAGCUUCCCCGCCAGGAACUUACUGGGGCUGCAUCACCCUAGAAACGUGGCUUUGGGCUGUGGAAACGCUGCCUCUGUGGAAGUCUCUCCUCGCGGGGGUGGACGGGUCGCUGCGCGCCCAGCGUUCUUCUGCGGUUCUCACAGCCCGCCGCCGCCGCCGCCUCGGGGACCUUUGCGGGGAGGCCUCAGGUCAGCGCCGCCCUUGCGAUGGCGGGAGAGCAGAGCGGCCCCAGGGCCUCUGAGCUCCGGCCCCGGCACGUCCCGCCCUCUCCUCCGCUUGCGGGAGCCGGGGCGCCUCGGAGGGAAACCUUCCGGACACAGGCCGGGAGAAGAGGGGCCGUGGCGCCAUCGCGCAGCUUCCUGGUUUCGGCCAUGUUUUUUUUUUUUUGAGACGGAGUUUCGCUCUUUUUGCCCAGGCUGGAGGGCAAUGGCGCCGUCUCGGCUCCCUGCAGCCGCCGCCUCCCGGGUUGAAGGGACUCUCCGGCCUCAGGCCGCGGUGUUCUUGUAAAUUAGAACCGGCCUAUGCGCCAAGCGCGGGUCUCGCGGCUGCGGAGAGAGGCCCAGCAGGGGGCGGGGACGCCGGGAGGCGGGGCCUGGCCGAGCUGCGCACACCCGGGUGGUUCUGGCUACGGGUACCCGGACCUGCCCAACGACCGUUCUCCAUUCCCGACCUCCGCACCCUACCCGGUCCGCAGGGCACCUUCCUCCUCUCUCUCAGGCACGUCCUCGACCUCAGUUGCCACGUGCACAUGCUGGUGCCUUCCAGGUCGGUCUUUCUCCACCAGACUCCACCUGGAACUUUCUUCCUUUUCGUCCUGUGCUGGCCUAACCCCUGCUCGGCCUCGGCCCUCAGCUGCCGGCUCUAACAAAGCCUCUGUCUUUCCCAGACCCCUGUGACCAGGUCAGGCUCUGCUCCCUGCGUUCCUCUCUCCUUGCUUCCCUCCUCCUCCCCUCCCCAGAAUCGCUUGAACCUGGGAGGCAGACGUUGCAGUGAGCUGAGAUCGCACCAUUGCACUCCAGCCUGGGUGACAAGAGCGAGACUCCAUCUCAAAACAAAAAACAAAAAACACAACUCUUGCUGGCUCCUUGAUUUUAGCCCAGUGAGAUUCACUUCUAAUUUCUUUUUUUCUUUGAGACAGUCUGUUCUGUCACCCAGGCUGGAGUGCAGUGGCGUAAUCAUGGCUCACUGCAGCCUCAACCUUCCUGGACUCAAGUGAACCUUCCACCUCAGCCUCCCAGGUAGCCGGGACUACAGGGGUGCACCAGCAUGCCUGGCUAAUUUUUGCAUUUUUUGUAGAGAUGGGGUUUCACUAUGUUGCCCAGGCUGGUCUGAAACUCCUGUGCCCCAGCAGUCCUCCUGCCUUGGUCUCCCAAAGUUCUGAGAUUACAGGCAUGAGCCACUGCGCCUGGGCUUCCAUUUCUGAUUUCCAAAACUCUAGGAUAAUAAAUUUACAUUGUUUUAAGCCACCAAAUUGUAGUAAUCUGUUACAGCAGCAAUAAGAAAUGAAUACAGCCAUGCUUGAUAAUUCCUUUAUCAAAAGCUACCUAUUGGUGUUAGGAAGUAUUGUUUUAAAUUCUAAGACAGUGUUUUCACUUUCUAUCUUGUGCACUGACUACCUCAUGACCCCUUAGGUACCAGUCAGGACUGGUAGACUUUAAUGUGGAGAACUUCUGAAACAGCAGUUCUCAAAAUGUUACCUCCAGACACACAGAAUCUGCAUCACCCAGGAACUUGUAACCAUGCAAAUUCUCAGCCACCCAGACUUCCUGCAUCAGAAACUCUGGGGCCCAGCAGCCUGUGUUUUAACAAAGCCCUUCAGGUGAUUCUGACACUUGCUCAAGUUUGAGAACCGCUGUUCUAGGAGCUGGUCCUGCAGGGAAAGGGUGGCCUCUCAGUUCAGGUUCCAGUGUGGCUGGGGGUGGGGGUCAAGGUGAGGGUUUGGUUGUUGUGUCUGACAGUCAGCCAGGCUUGAGCACACGGACUGUUUACAAGGCUGCACUUUCCAUGUUCUGGUCAGCAGUCUCCUGGUUCAUUCCGUUACGAAUGGACUGUCACCCCAAAAUUAAUGUUGAAAUCUAUUUCUCUAUUUGGAGGUGGGGCCUUUGGGAGGUAAUUAGGUCAUGAGAGUGGAGCCCUCAUGAAUGGAAUGACUGCCUAAGAGAACAGAGAUGGCUCACACCUGUAAUCCCAGCACUUUGGGAGGCUGAGGUGGGCGGAUCACGAGGUCAAGAGAUCGAGACCAUCCUGGCUAACACGGUGAAACCCCAUCUCCACUAAAAUACAAAAAAUUAACCAGGUGUGGCAGCGGGUGCCUGUAGUCCCAGCUACUCAGGAGGCUGAGGCAGGAGAAUGGUGUAAACCUGGGAGGCAGAGCUUUCAGUGAGCUGAGACUGCGCCACUGCACUCCAGCCUGGGCGAUACGGUGAAACUCUGUCUCAAAAAAAAAAAAAAAAAAAGAGAACAGAGAGCUAGCUUGCUGAUUUUCUGCCAUAUGAGGAUACAGUAAGAGGGCAGCCAUCUGCAACUUGUAAGAUGACCCUCACCAUAACGUGACCAUGCUGGCACCACGAUCUCAGACUUCUAACCCCCAGAACUGAGAAAUAAAUUUCUCCACCACUCUAUGACACGGUAUUUUUUUUUUUUUUUUGAGAUGGAGUCUCGCUCUAUUGCCCAGGCUGGAGCGCAGUGGCACGAUCUCGGCUCACUGCAACCUCUGCCUCCCGGGUUCAAGCGAUUCUCCUGCCUCAGCCUCCUGAGUAGCUGGGAUUACAGGUAUGCGCCACCACACCUGGCUAAGUUUUGUAUUUUUAAUAGAGAUGGGGUUUCACCGUGUUAGCCAGGAUGGUCUCGAUCUCCUGACCUCAUGAUCCGCCCGCCUCGGCCUCCCAAAGUGCUGGGAUUACAGGCGUGAGCCACUGCGCCCAGCUGGCAUGGUAUUUGUUAUAGCAACCCAAGCUAAGACACUCCAUGUUAUGGACUGAAUGCUCGUCUGCCCCCAAAGUUUCUAUGCUGAGAUCCUAACCCCUUUGUGAUGGUAACAGGAAGUGGGAACUUUGGGAAGUAACUAAUUAGGCCAUGAUGGUAGGGCCCUCAUGAGUGGGAUUAGUGGCUGUCUUAGUCCAUUUUGUGCUGCUAUAAUAGAAUACCCGAGACUGGGUAAUUUAUAUAGAACAGAUGUUUGUUCUCUCACAGCUGUUGCAUUAGGGAUAGAUGGAAAGACUUAUUUAUGUAUUGACUGACUGAUUGAUGGGGCCUUGUUCUGUUGCCUAGGCUGGAGUAUAGUGGCAUGAUCAUAGAUCACUGCAGCCUCAAACUCCUGGGCUCAAGCGAUCCUCCCACCUCAGCCUCCAUAUAGCUGGUGGGGACCAAGUUUCUAACACAUGAAUGUUGGGAGACACAUUCAGACCAUCGCAGUGGCCUUAUAAAAAGAGACACAAGAGCUUGCUCUCUGCCAUGUGAGAAUACCACAAGAAGACUGUCCUCAGCAAAUCAGAAAGCGGGUGGACCCUCAUCAGACACCAGAUGUGCCUGCACCUUGAUCUUGGACUUGCCAGCCUUCAGAACAGUAAGAAAGAAAUGUGUGUUGUUUAAGCCACCCAGUCUAUGGUAACUUGCUAUAGCAGCCCACUAGGAGACCCCAAGAUAUUUAAAAACUCAUCAGCACCUGCUUUCUGCAUCUGGACCCUGAUCUUCUGGUGGGUUUACCAGUUACUUGUAGAGUGUCCCUGUGAUAGUUUUAGGUGUCAACUUGACAGGAUUGAGGGAUGCCUAGAUGGCUGGGGAAGCACUGUUUCUGAGAAGGACCAUGUUUUUGGAGGAGACUGUUUUAUGAGUGAAUUUCAGGGGACACAUUCAGAUCAUGGCAGUGGCAUUAUAAAGAGAGACACAAAAGCUUGCUCUCUCUCUCUGCCAUGUAAGACUACCACACAAAGACUGCCAUCUGCAAACCAGAAGCAGGUGGGCUUUCCUCAGACACCAGAUCUGCCUGCACCUUGAUCUUGGACUUGCCAGCCUUCAGAACUCUAAGAAAGAAAUGGUAGCAUGGCUUGGUCUAAGUUGGAAGGCCUGAGAAACAAGCACAUGGUGGAACUGAGUUCAAGGAUAAAGACUUGAGAAUACCUGCUCAGUGGACUGAGUAGGGAAGAUCAACCCUCAAUGUAGGCAGGCACUAUCCAAUCACCUGAGGGCCCAGAUGGAACAAAAAGGUGGAAGAAGGGUGAAUUCUCUCUUCCAGAGCUGUGACACCCUUCUCAUGCCCUUGUACCACACAACUCUAGGUCCUUUGGCCUUUGGACUCUGACACUUGCACCAGUGGCCCUCUGGGGCUCUCAAGCCUUUAGCCUUGAACUUAGUUACACCAUGUGCCUCCUUGUUUCUCAGGCCUUCCAACUUGGAUCAGGCCAUGCCACCGGCUUCUCUGAUUCUCCAGCUUGCAGAUGGUAUAUUGUGACCCUGGCAUUUAAUAACUAUGACUUUGGUCUUAAGCAAUUUUCUUCCUCUGUGGAUUGAUAUUUACAUAUCAAUGUGGAUAAUAAUUUCUUACCACGGUAACUGUUGUGAGGUAAAAAUGAGUUAACAUAAGUAAAACCGAGCACAUGCAAACCAUCCGAAAUGGUUAAUACUUACUAUUUGUACUUGAAGAAAUAAAUGUUUUUGACAAUAAACUUCUUGUGCAGUUUUCCUCAGCCAGUGUCAACUGAGCCGAUCAUUUAUGUGACAGUUUCAUUACCAAAUGGAUGUUCUCACCACUAUUUCAAGUGCAGUAUGAAACUUUAUUUGAAAUUCUAAAAAACUAAUUAAUUAAUUAAGGUUGUUUGGCUCUUGCAGCCUGUAUUAAUUUCCUAGGGCAGCCGUAACAAAGGAGUCACAUACCACAUGACAUUUUGGUCAGCAGCAGGCUGCGUUUCUGACAGUACUCCAUACAAUUAUAACACCAUUAUUUUUACGGUACCUUUUCUAUGGUUAGAUACACAAAUACUUACCGUGUUACAGUUGCCUACAGUAUUCAGAGUACAGUCACAUGCUGUACUGGUUUGCAGCCCCGGCGCAUUAGGCCAUGCCGUGCAGCCUAGCUGUGUAGUAGGCUCUCCUGGCUAGGUUUGUGAGUGUGCCCUCUAUGAUGUUCACACAACGGCCUAACGAUGCAUUUCUCACAACGUAUCCACGUUAAGUGACCCAUGACUAUUCAUUCUACAAACUGAGAAGCUUAAGUAACAGAAAUUUAUUUUCUCACAGACUUGGAAGACAGAAGCCUGAAAUCAAGUUGUUAGUAGGGCCAUUGCCCUCUGAAGGCUCUAGAGGCAAAUCUUUUCUUGCCUCUUUCAGCUUCCGGUGGCUCCCAGCAAUCCCUGACAUUCUUUUCCUUGUAGUAACACAACUCUAAUCCCUACCUCAGUCUUCACACAGUGUUCUCCCCUGUGGGUCUCUCAAUCUCUCACUCCUCAUAAGGACAAGUCUUUGCAUUCAGGGCCCCUCAAAUCCAGUGUGACCUCAUCUUAAUUUGAUUACCUUUGUAAAGAUGCAAUUUCCAAAUAAGGUCACAUUUGUAUGUACUGCGGGUUAGGACUUGAACAUAUAUUUUUAGGGGGCACAAGUGAACCCACAUCAGAGGUCAAGCCACAAAGCAGCCUACAUGGCGAAACCAGUCUUGUCGUGAAAAUGUAAACUGAGGUAAGGGCCAUGCUGCCUUGGAAAGCGUUCUGUGUUGUCAUUCCAGAGCCACGGGGGCUGGAUAGUGACAACAGAGGUGGGUUGCAGAUCUAUGGGCUACUCUUUGCAGAGGCAGUAAGUAGGGACUGCCACAGCAUUCAAUUAAUUUCCUGUAAGAAUACAUUUUAUUCAAGUUGAUAAAAAAGCUAUACUUAUUAAUAUUGCAUAACAUUCCUGUGCUAUCAAAUGAGAAUCUCCAGAAAUGAAUUUGAAUAGCUAUAAAACCCACAUUUUUCUGCAGAUACAUGUGUAGCCACCUGAGAGCCAGGUCCCUCAGUGUCCACAGACAUAGCCCUGCCACCUACCGCCUGCUUCCCAGAGCAAUGAAGCUUCUGCUAACUCAGGCUUAUCCCAGUCUCUAUUUCAGGCCAUCAGCUGGAUGAAGAAUUAAUUUAGUAAGCAUGAAACAGCUUGCAAAGCAUUGGUGAGUGGCUGAGGGCCAUGAAACGAGACCACCGUGUGGCCCAUCUCUGAAGAUGAAUCCAACAGCAGUGACUCUACCUGCGUCCUCCCCAUCUUUUCUGCUUUUUCAUACAAUGGCUUAUUCACUGCGUGUGACAUCAUCACUAGCACUGUGUUUAUCUAUCACAUUUCUUCUGUUUUGUGGGUUUGUUUUGCAUUAAAGGUCUACUUCUCUGAGCUUUGAGCUGUAAGGCUUGACUGUGAGCAGCAACUGAAGAGUGUGGCACCUCACACUCGGUAGGAAGAAGCUGAAUGACAGAUGUCGGCAGUGAGGGUGGGGAAAGCAGCCAGGUACCAAGCAGCUGUUUUUUAGGCUAACCAUUGAAGGGAAGCUCCUAAUCCCUGAGUUAACUUUUAGCAGAGAUUAACUCAGUCUAUCUAUUGGGAUGUAAAGGAUUUGGGCAUAAAGGUAUGUUAAUUCGGAGGCUCUGGAAUGUAUAACAAUUUCUCCCAUUGAAAUUUAUGAUAAUUAAGUGUUCAACUUACUGGAAUUUUCCCCACAAGACUCUUCUGGGAUGAAUUUGCCUUGGGGAGAAGACUACGUAACUGAAAACCAGCAUCCAGGCCCUCAAGAAGAAAUAUAAUCUCCAACAGUCUCCUUUUCAAUUUCUGUCAAAUGUCUGGCUUCUCUUGAAGGGAUGUUCACGAGAAGGGACAGCCGCCCUCCUCCGAGCCUCCUGUUUCAGCUGAUGCACCUUCAAGUACAAGGUCCUGUUCUUGGGCUCUGUUAAAGUUUCCCUCAAGAAAAAAACCUUACAUUUGCCAAUGCACUUGAUGUAAAGUUGUUGAGGAUGUUGACUCUCCUUUAAACAUUUAUUGAAGCUAGGAAUAAACUUAACUGGACCUGUGUAUAGGAAAUCUUAAAUUUCUACUAAGAGAUGAAAAAAAGAAUUCCCUUCCCUUCCUUAACAAUUCAGCUCCCGUUACACAAAACCAAACAAGAUGGGAUUCUGUUGUGGGGGGACAGAACUUCAUUGUCCUGAAGCUAGGUGUUGGAGCCCAAGCAGGGUGAGGAGGGAGUCAAGGAGGCCCAUGUGGUGGUGGAGCAUGGCCUGGCAUGGGUCUCAGUGCCCAAGCAAGGUGAAGAGGGGACCAUGCAGGGAGUGAGGGUGUCACUGCCCAAGUGAGGUGAGUAGGGCAAUUUUGAAAAGUCAUGAAAGUUGAGGAAGGGCUGAGGCACCAUUCUAGAUUGAAGGAGACUAAAAAGAUGCAACACUCACAAUGCACAAUUCUAAACUGAAAUCUUUGCUCUAAAGGACAUUAGGACAAUGAAAGAAACUUGCACGGGGUCUGAGCAUUAGGUAGUAGUAAUGAAUUGAUGUUGAGUCCCUAAUUUUCAUGGUUGUAUGCUGAUGAUGUAGGAGGUUCUUGUAGGAAAUACACACUCAAAAGUAUUCUGAGGUGAUGGGGCAUCAUAUCAGAAGCUUAUUCUCAAAU